CAGCUUGCUGGGGUACACGAGUGGCGAACGGGUGAGUAACACGUGGGUGACCUGCCCUGCACUUCGGGAUAAGCCUGGGAAACUGGGUCUAAUACCGGAUAGGACUGCACCGUGAGGGUGUGGUGGAAAGUUUUUUCGGUGUGGGAUGGGCCCGCGGCCUAUCAGCUUGUUGGUGGGGUAAUGGCCUACCAAGGCGGCGACGGGUAGCCGGCCUGAGAGGGUGGACGGCCACAUUGGGACUGAGACACGGCCCAGACUCCUACGGGAGGCAGCAGUGGGGAAUAUUGCACAAUGGGCGGAAGCCUGAUGCAGCGACGCCGCGUGGGGGAUGACGGCCUUCGGGUUGUAAACUCCUUUCACCAUCGACGAAGGGUUUCUGACGGUAGAUGGAGAAGAAGCACCGGCUAACUACGUGCCAGCAGCCGCGGUAAUACGUAGGGUGCGAGCGUUGUCCGGAAUUACUGGGCGUAAAGAGCUCGUAGGUGGUUUGUCGCGUCGUCUGUGAAAUUCCGGGGCUUAACUCCGGGCGUGCAGGCGAUACGGGCAUAACUUGAGUACUGUAGGGGAGACUGGAAUUCCUGGUGUAGCGGUGAAAUGCGCAGAUAUCAGGAGGAACACCGGUGGCGAAGGCGGGUCUCUGGGCAGUAACUGACGCUGAGGAGCGAAAGCAUGGGGAGCGAACAGGAUUAGAUACCCUGGUAGUCCAUGCCGUAAACGGUGGGCGCUAGGUGUGGGUUUCCUUCCACGGGAUCCGUGCCGUAGCUAACGCAUUAAGCGCCCCGCCUGGGGAGUAC
rnacentral:rRNA from 1 species